CCUACGGUCUCAGCAGUGGGGAAUAUUGGACAAUGGGCGAAAGCCUGAUCCAGCCAUGCCGCGUGUGUGAAGAAGGCCUUCGGGUUGUAAAGCACUUUCAGUGGGGAAGAAAGCCUUGGGGCUAAUACCCUCGAGGAAGGACAUCACCCACAGAAGAAGCACCGGCUAACUCCGUGCCAGCAGCCGCGGUAAUACGGAGGGUGCGAGCGUUAAUCGGAAUUACUGGGCGUAAAGCGCGCGUAGGCGGUCUGAUAAGCCGGUUGUGAAAGCCCCGGGCUCAACCUGGGAACGGCAUCCGGAACUGUCAGGCUAGAGUGCAGGAGAGGAAGGUAGAAUUCCCGGUGUAGCGGUGAAAUGCGUAGAGAUCGGGAGGAAUACCAGUGGCGAAGGCGGCCUUCUGGACUGACACUGACGCUGAGGUGCGAAAGCGUGGGUAGCAAACAGGAUUAGAUACCCCGGUAGUC
rnacentral:rRNA from 1 species